UUUAGGUGUGGCAAGCAGGG
rnacentral:misc_RNA from 1 species